CGAGGGCACGUUUGCCUGGGUGUCACACGCGGCGUUGCCCCUAAUCCCUCGCCCUGAAUUUGGGCGGGCGGGACUCGGGUGCGUAUGUUGGCCUCCCGCGACGACUUCGUCCCGGUUGGCCCAAAAUCGAGCGCUGGAGCGAUUAGCACCACGGCAUUCGGUGGUUGAUGAGACCCCAAAGAUCAAUGCCAUGCGUGUCGCUCGCGCAAGCGCUCCUCGAAUCUGCUCUUUACCAACGCGACCCCAGGUCAAGCGGGGCUACC
rnacentral:misc_RNA from 1 species